AACGUAGGAGACAAACGUUAUCCGGAGUUACUGGGCGUAAAGGGCGUGUAGGUGGUUUUGUAAGUCUGGCGUGAAAUUUUUCGGCUUAACCGGGAAAGGUCGUCGGAUACUGCAAGGCUAGAGGACGGUAGAGGCGUGUGGAAUUCCGGGUGUAGUGGUGAAAUGCGUAGAGAUCCGGAGGAACACCAGUGGCGAAGGCAGCUCGCUGGGACGUGACUGACGCUGAGACGCGAAAGCGUGGGGAGCAAACAGG
rnacentral:rRNA from 1 species